rnacentral:ncRNA from 1 species
CGUGUCGGCUGAAUCAGAGAUUGGCUGGCACAUACUAUAAACACACUCUAUUAGGAGAGUUAUUAUGUCUCUGAGCGUAGAAAAGAAAGCUCAAAUCGUUGCUGAUUUCGCACGUGGCGAA